UACGUAGGUGGCAAGCGUUGUUCGGAUUUACUGGGCGUAAAGGGCGCGUAGGCGGCCACCGCAAGUCGAUUGUGAAAUCUCCGGGCUUAACCCGGAAAGGUCAACCGAUACUGCGGGGCUAGAGUGCAGAAGGGGCAACUGGAAUUCUCGGUGUAGCGGUGAGAUGCGUAGAUAUCGAGAGGAACACCUGCGGCGAAGGCGGGUUGCUGGGCUGACACUGACGCUGAAGUGCGAAAGCUAGGGGAGCGAACGGG
rnacentral:rRNA from 1 species